rnacentral:misc_RNA from 1 species
AAGUCGUAACAAGGUUUCCGUAGGUGAACCUGCGGAAGGAUCAUUAAUGAAAUUUAUGACUGGAGUUGUCGCUGGCCCUUAAAAACGGCAUGUGCACGCUCCUUUCACUAAUCCACACACACCUGUGCACCUUCGCGGGGGUCUUCUUUUCGGAGAAGGCUCGCGUCCCUUUACACACCCUUUGUAUGUCUUAAGAAUGUCUACUCGAUGUAAUAAAACGCAUCUAAUACAACUUUCAACAACGGAUCUCUUGGCUCUC